CGAGUGGCGGACGGGUGAGUAAUGUCUGGGAAACUGCCUGAUGGAGGGGGAUAACUACUGGAAACGGUGGCUAAUACCGCAUAACGUCGCAAGACCAAAGAGGGGGACCUUCGGGCCUCUUGCCAUCAGAUGUGCCCAGAUGGGAUUAGCUUGUUGGUGAGGUAACGGCUCACCAAGGCGACGAUCCCUAGCUGGUCUGAGAGGAUGACCAGCCACACUGGAACUGAGACACGGUCCAGACUCCUACGGGAGGCAGCAGUGGGGAAUAUUGCACAAUGGGCGCAAGCCUGAUGCAGCCAUGCCGCGUGUAUGAAGAAGGCCUUCGGGUUGUAAAGUACUUUCAGCGGGGAGGAAGGUGUUGUGGUUAAUAACCGCAGCAAUUGACGUUACCCGCAGAAGAAGCACCGGCUAACUCCGUGCCAGCAGCCGCGGUAAUACGGAGGGUGCAAGCGUUAAUCGGAAUUACUGGGCGUAAAGCGCACGCAGGCGGUCUGUCAAGUCGGAUGUGAAAUCCCCGGGCUCAACCUGGGAACUGCAUUCGAAACUGGCAGGCUUGAGUCUUGUAGAGGGGGGUAGAAUUCCAGGUGUAGCGGUGAAAUGCGUAGAGAUCUGGAGGAAUACCGGUGGCGAAGGCGGCCCCCUGGACAAAGACUGACGCUCAGGUGCGAAAGCGUGGGGAGCAAACAGGAUUAGAUACCCUGGUAGUCCACGCCGUAAACGAUGUCUACUUGGAGGUUGUGCCCUUGAGGCGUGGCUUCCGGAGCUAACGCGUUAAGUAGACCGCCUGGGGAGUACGGCCGCAAGGUUAAAACUCAAAUGAAUUGACGGGGGCCCGCACAAGCGGUGGAGCAUGUGGUUUAAUUCGAUGCAACGCGAAGAACCUUACCUGGUCUUGACAUCCACAGAACUUUCCAGAGAUGGAUUGGUGCCUUCGGGAACUGUGAGACAGGUGCUGCAUGGCUGUCGUCAGCUCGUGUUGUGAAAUGUUGGGUUAAGUCCCGCAACGAGCGCAAC
rnacentral:rRNA from 1 species